rnacentral:rRNA from 1 species
AACGAACGCUGGCGGCAUGCCUAACACAUGCAAGUCGAACGAGACCUUCGGGUCUAGUGGCGCACGGGUGCGUAACGCGUGGGAACCUGCCCUUAGGUUCGGAAUAACUCCCCGAAAGGGGUGCUAAUACCGGAUAAUGUCUUCGGACCAAAGAUUUAUCGCCUUUGGAUGGGCCCGCGUUGGAUUAGCUAGUUGGUAGGGUAAAAGCCCACCAAGGCGACGAUCCAUAGCUGGUCUGAGAGGAUGAUCAGCCACACUGGGACUGAGACACGGCCCAGACUCCUACGGGAGGCAGCAGUGGGGAAUAUUGGACAAUGGGCGAAAGCCUGAGCCAGCAAUGCCGCGUGAGUGAUGAAGGCCUUAGGGUUGUAAAGCUCUUUUACCCGGGAUGAUAAUGACAGUACCGGGAGAAUAAGCACCGGCUAACUCCGUG